rnacentral:rRNA from 1 species
GACGAACGCUGGCGGCGCGCCUAACACAUGCAAGUCGAACGAGCGAGCGAGAGCUUGCUUUCUUGAGCGAGUGGCGAACGGGUGAGUAACGCGUGGGGAACCUGCCUCAAAGAGGGGGACAACAGUUGGAAACGACUGCUAAUACCGCAUAAGCCCACGGUGCCGCAUGGCACCGAGGGAAAAGGAGCAAUCCGCUUUUAGAUGGCCUCGCGUCCGAUUAGCUAGUUGGUGAGGUAACGGCCCACCAAGGCGACGAACGGUAGCCGGACAGAGAGGUUGAACGGCCACAUUGGGACUGAGACACGGCCCAGACUCCUACGGGAGGCAGCAGUGGGGAAUAUUGCAAAAUGGGGGAAACCAUGAUGCAGCGACGCCGCGUGGAGGAAGAAGGUCUGCGGAUUGUAAACUCCUGUUGUUGGGGAAGAUAAUGACGGUACCCAACAAGGAAGUGACGGCUAACUACGUG